rnacentral:ncRNA from 3 species
UACCACAGGGAUAACUGGCUUGUG